rnacentral:misc_RNA from 1 species
UACUCUCAACCCCUGGGGUCUUUUAAACGGACCACCUCGGGCUUGGAUCAUGGACGAUGCCGGCCCCCCUCGGGGGUGUGGCUCGUCUGAAAUACAUGAGCUGACCUGUCUGCGAACAGCACGGUUUGACUCGGCGUAAUAAAUCCAUUUUUCGUCGGGGACACCCUUCGCGGGGUGGCCGGGCUCGCGGUCUUCGGGUUGAUCGAAUAGUCCCAUCUAU